rnacentral:rRNA from 1 species
AUUGAACGCUGGCGGCAGGCUUAACACAUGCAAGUCGAGCGGAGAUGAGGUGCUUGCACCUUAUCUUAGCGGCGGACGGGUGAGUAAUGCUUAGGAAUCUGCCUAUUAGUGGGGGACAACAUUCCGAAAGGAAUGCUAAUACCGCAUACGUCCUACGGGAGAAAGCAGGGGAUCUUCGGACCUUGCGCUAAUAGAUGAGCCUAAGUCGGAUUAGCUAGUUGGCGGGGUAAAGGCCUACCAAGGCGACGAGCUGUAGCGGGUCUGAGAGGAUGAUCCGCCACGCUGGGACUGAGACACGGCCCAGAAUCCUACGGGAGGCAGCAGUGGGGAAUAUUGGACAAUGGGGGAAACCCUGAUCCAGCCAUGCCGCGUGUGUGAAGAAGGCCUUAUGGUUGUAAAGCACUUUAAGCGAGGAGGAGGCUACUGAGACUAAUACUCUUGGAUAGUGGACGUUACUCGCAGAAUAAGCACCGGCUAACUCUGUGCCAGCCGCCGCCGUAAUAC